rnacentral:rRNA from 1 species
CCUGGUGAUUUAGCUUAGCGUGCCCUACUCGAUCCCAUUCCGAACUCGAUAGUAAAAGCGUUAAGCGCCGAUGAUACUUUCGCUUUCGGGUGAAGGGAAAGUAGGCUUUGCCAGGA